AGAGCGAACGCUGGCGGCAGGCCUAACACAUGCAAGUCGAGCGCCGUAGCAAUACGGAGCGGCAGACGGGAGAGUAACACGUGGGAACGUACCCUUUGGUUCGGAACAACCCAGGGAAACUUGGGCUAAUACCGAAUAAGCCCUUACGGGGAAAGAUUUAUCGCCGAAGGAUCGGCCCGCGUCUGAUUAGCUAGUUGGUGGGGUAACGGCCCACCAAGGCGACGAUCAGUAGCUGGUCUGAGAGGAUGAUCAGCCUCAUUGGGACUGAGACACGGCCCAAACUCCUACGGGAGGCAGCAGUGGGGAAUAUUGGACAAUGGGCGCAAGCCUGAUCCAGCCAUGCCGCGUGGGUGAUGAAGGCCCUAGGGUUGUAAAGCCCUUUCGGCGGGGUAAGAUAAUGACGGUACCGCAGAAGAAGCCCCGGCUAACUUCGUGCCAGCAGCCGC
rnacentral:rRNA from 1 species